rnacentral:rRNA from 1 species
UGAGUUUGAUCAUGGCUCAGAACGUACGCUGGCGGCACGCCUAACACGUGCAAGUCGAACGAAGUAGCAAUACUUAGUGGCAGACGGGUGAGUAACAUGUAGGUAUCUGCCCUUUGGCCUGGAAUAACACGAGGAAACUUGUGCUAAUACCGGAUAAGUCUUUACGGAGAAAGCUUUAUGCACCAUUGGAUGAGCCUGCACUUGAUUAGUUUGUUGGUAGGGUAAUGGCCUACCAAGACUUUGAUCAAUAGCUGAUUUGAGAGGAUGAUCAGCCACAUUGGGACUGAGACACGGCCCAAACUCCUACGGGAGGCAGCAGUGGGGAAUCUUGCACAAUGGAGGAAACUCUGAUGCAGCGAUGCCGCGUGAGUGAAGAAGGCCCUUGGGUUGUAAAGCUCUUUCGUCGGGAAAGAAAAUGACUGUACCCGAAUAAGAAGGUCCGGCUAACUUCGUGCCAGCAG